UACGAAGGGGGCUAGCGUUGCUCGGAAGCACUGGGCGUAAAGGGUGCGUAGGCGGGUCUUUGAGUGAGGGGUGAAAUCCUGGAGCUCAACUCCAGAACUGCCUUUGAUACUGAAGAUCUUGAGUUCGGGAGAGGUGAGUGGAACUGCGAGUGUAGAGGUGAAAUUCGUAGAUAUUCGCAAGAACACCAGUGGCGAAGGCGGCUCACUGGCCCGAUACUGACGCUGAGGCACGAAAGCGUGGGGAGCAAACAGG
rnacentral:rRNA from 1 species